rnacentral:rRNA from 1 species
AGCGUAGACGGAUGGACAAGUCUGAUGUGAAAGGCUGGGGCUCAACCCCGGGACUGCAUUGGAAACUGCCCGUCUUGAGUGCCGGAGAGGUAAGCGGAAUUCCUAGUGUAGCGGUGAAAUGCGUAGAUAUUAGGAGGAACACCAGCGGCGAAGGCGGCUUACUGGACGGUAACUGACGUUGAGGCUCGAAAGCGUGGGGAGCAAACA